GUUCUGGUAGCUUAAAC
rnacentral:tRNA from 1 species